ACCCAGGAGGACAAAGAAUGGGCUCAGGCAUCCUUGUUACAGCUUGGGCGUUUUACAGGAAUGGGGUGGAUUUUGAGUCCAGAGACACCUCAGACUCUCCCAAUCAAGAUGUUUGAUGGGCUGGUGACCAGCCCAGGUUUUGUCCAAGCUGAGGACAAGGCUAUAUAUGUGCUGUCAAUGCUUGUUGUCAAUGAUCAGGAGAAGCAGCAGAUUGAGGAAGCAACUGUUGGCCAGGCUAAGAACUCAUUAUGGUUUACAUAUCGCAAGAAAAGG